AUGUUGAAACGGCUUCAGCUGUCUUCUUCGUCUCUCCACCGCUUCGUCUCUCACACUGUCGCAUUCGCUUCCGCGUCUUCCUUCCCUAGAUAUCGUGUCCGUACGCAUUUUCCUUCGUUUUCUCGCCCUUUCUCUCCGAUUCUCUCGAGACCCAUUUCUUCUGCUAAGGUCUUAGCCAUGGCGGAGGAGACCUCGUCUUCGACCUCAUCCGGUUCUCAUAAGCAUACCAAUCGUCUCGCCGCCGAACACAGCCCGUACCUUCUUCAGCAUGCCCAUAAUCCGGUUGAUUGGUAUCCGUGGGGGGAAGAAGCUUUCGCAGAAGCACGGAAGAGAGAUGUGCCCAUCUUCUUAUCGAUUGGAUACAGUACCUGUCACUGGUGCCACGUGAUGGAGGUGGAAUCUUUUGAAGAUGAAGAAGUGGCGAAACUCUUAAAUGGUUGGUUCGUCAGUAUUAAGGUGGAUCGGGAAGAGAGGCCCGAUGUUGACAAGGUUUAUAUGUCAUUCGUUCAGGCUCUGUAUGGUGGUGGAGGGUGGCCAAUGUCUGUCUUCCUUUCGCCCGAUUUGAAGCCAUUUAUGGGUGGAACUUACUUUCACCCUGAUGACAAUUAUGGAAGACCAGGGUUCAAGACUAUCCUUAAGAAGGUGAAAGAUGCUUGGGACAAUAGGAGGGAUAUGCUUGUGAAGAGCGGCACGUUUGCGCUCGAUGAGCUGUCAAAAGCUUUAUCUGCAAAUGCUGAAUCUGAGAAAUUGCCUGAUGGACUUUCUCAGACAGCUUUCCAGGAAUGCGCUAAACAACUCUCUAAGAGCUAUGAUUCAGAGUUUGGUGGGUUUGGAUCAGCUCCAAAGUUCCCAAGACCUGUUGAGAUCCAGCUGAUGCUUUAUCAUUCUGAAAAGCUGGAGGGAGCUGGGAAAGCUAGCGAGGCAGGUGAAUCCAAAGAUAUGGUUUUCUUUAGCUUGCAGAGAAUGGCAAAUGGAGGUAUGCAUGACCAUAUAGGAGGCGGCUUUCAUAGAUACAGCGUUGAUGAGUGCUGGCAUGUUCCACAUUUUGAGAAGAUGCUAUACGAUCAAGGACAACUGGCUAAUGUCUACCUGGAUGCGUUUUCCAUCACCAAGGACGUUAUGUAUUCGUAUGUAUCCAGAGACAUCCUUGAUUACCUGAAGAGGGAAAUGAUCGGAACCGAAGGUGGAAUUUUCUCGGCUGAGGAUGCCGACAGCCUCGAGUUUGAAGGUGCAAAGCGAAAGAAAGAGGGGGCAUUCUAUAUAUGGACCAGCCAAGAGAUUGAUGACGUACUCGGGGAGAAUGCAAGUCUUUUCAAGGAGCAUUUCUACGUCAAGAAAAUGGGUAAUUGUGAUCUCUCGAACAGGAGUGACCCACAAAAUGAAUUCAAGGGAAAGAAUGUGCUGAUUGAGAGAAAUGACAUGUCUGCCAUGGCCCGAAAGUUCGGAUUCUCGGUUGACAAGUACCCGGAGAUUUUGGGUGAAUGCAAAAGAAAGCUUUUCGAUGCCAGGUCAAAGCGGUCUAGGCCGCAUUUAGAUGACAAGGUAAUUGUGUCGUGGAAUGGUCUUGCGAUUUCAUCUCUUGCAAGGGCUUCCAAGAUCCUCAAGGGUGAGCCGGAAAACACCAAAUACUAUUUUCCAGUUGUCGGUUGUCAGCCCGAGGAGUACAUAGAGGUUGCAGAGAAGGCGGCCUCCUUUAUCAGAGGGUAUCUCUACGACGGGCAGUCACGCAGGUUACAACGCAGUUACAGAAAGGGUCCUUCCAAAGCCCCGGGCUUCUUAGACGAUUACGCUUUCCUGAUCUCGGGUUUGCUUGAUCUUUACGAGUGUGGGGGCGGGAUCGAAUGGCUUAGCUGGGCUAUGGAACUUCAAGAUAUACAGGAUGAGUUGUUUCUCGACCAAGAAGGAGGUGGCUACUUCAAUACUCCGGGGCAUGACCCUUUGGUUAUCCUUCGUGUGAAAGAGGAUCAUGAUGGUGCAGAGCCUUCAGGGAAUUCCGUUUCUGCCAUUAACCUUGUGAGGUUUGCCUCCGUGGUCUCGGGGCAAAGAUCUGACCGCUACAGGCAGACUGCAGAACGUCUCCUGGCGGUUUUCGAGGGGAGAUUGAAAGAGAUGGCAGUGGCAGUGCCAUUGAUGUGUUGUGCUGCUGACAUGCUCUAUGUCCCGGCGAGGAAGCAAGUCGUGUUGGUUGGUCGUAAGCCUUCCUCUGAACUCUGCAACAUGCUUUCUGCAGUGCAUUCAGUCUACGAUCCAAAUAAAACGGUGAUUCACAUCGACCCUUCCAGUUCUGUGGACAUGGAGUUCUGGGAAAAGCACAACAUCAACAUUGCAGACAUUGCAAGGACCAACUAUGCCGGUGGAGACAGAGCAGUGGCUCUUGUCUGCCAAAACUUCACUUGUAGCCCUCCCGUUUAUGAUCCAAAUUCUCUCACGGAGCUUCUCGCCAAGUAAAACUGAAAGAAGCACUGGUUUCAAAGGUCAUUGCAAGAAAUUGCUUGCGGUGCAAGGAACAAGAGUGACGCAUUAGCUUUGGUUAAGUCUUUACAAAGAAAAAUGCUGAAAGAGGAAGCUGUAGCACCUUAGCUGUAGCUGUAGCUGUAGCUGUAGCUGUAGCUGUAGCUGUAGCUGUAGCUGUAGCUGUAGCUGGGAGAGAGGAGGUUCUCAUGACGUGUGGAAAUCACAAAGAGAAUCUAUCCGUGUUUGGAUAAUCGUGUUCUUGUAAGCUGGUCUCUUUUACAAAACGCUACUCGUGAACCGGGUCAUUGUCGGAAGGUCCGGUUUAUUCCGCGAAACCGGACAUUGGUCCGUAUUCUGGUUCACAAGCGGCGUGAAGAAGAAGACAAGAGGGGAAAGUGAUAAACAAUGUCACAUGUUACAAGGAAAAAAAACAUGAGCGUUGGGGGACGUACAUAUGUAUUGAUAUCAUGGAUUAGAUAUUUCAUUUGCUGACGUCAGAUCUUCAUCCGGUUUCAGACAUGAAAAAGAAACUCCCAGAAACCAAGGGAGAGGAGAGAGAGAGAUUAGAUAUCUGACAAAUGAUGACAAUCAAUGUUUUCUGAGCAAAGGAGCCAAGUGGACAGCUGUAUCCAAUUCUGAAACUUGCUUAGCUGUAAAUUAUUAUGGUCCUAUUUUAUUCCCAUAUCC